UACGCUCCUGUGGUAGAGACGACCAUGGACUAAACCGACGCUACGAGAGUUCAAGGCCAGAACCCCUCCGCGGAACGCGUUGAGCCCUCCUGUUCCGCCAUCGCUGUCCGUCUCCCACAGUACUGGGACCAGCAUCUUUCGGCGUGGUUUCUACAGGCCGAAGCGCAAUUUCAAGUCGCUGGUGUCCGCUCUCAAGCCUCGGAAGUUCCAUUACGCCGUCGCAGCGCUCUCGCCCGCCGCCAUUGACGAGGUAGCAGAUUUGUUGAACUCCCCAUUGUCUGCCGCCGCCUAUGACGAUCUCAAGGGAGCACUGCUACAGCGCACAGCAGCUUCACAGCGUUCUCGCAUCCAACAGCUUCUGUCCGCUGAAGAUCUCGGUGACCGACGCCCUAGUCAACUUCUUCGCCGAAUGCACCAGCUGCUCGGAAACAACGCGAGAUCCAUCGACAAAACGCUGUUGCGCGAAUUGUUUUUCCAACGACUCCCGGCUAUUGUGAAGACUGUCCUGGCGAAAGCCUCUACCAUGGACCUCACCGGACUUGCCGCUUUGGCCGACAAAGUCAUGGAAGUAGCCACCCCAACCAUCGCAGCCACGGCACCGUCUCCGGGUGACAAUACAACCACUCUGCAAACUGUUCCCUGCUCUUCCGCAGUGCAAUCUCCUCUCGACUCCUUGAGUGAGCGCCUGGAACGCAUCAUCUGUGGAGCGGAAUAUCGCCGCACAUCUCGUCGCCCACGCAGCCGUAGUUCCAGCUGAUCAAGACGCACGGGCAUCCGCAAUGAAACCUCAACUACAACGCCUGGCGUUUGAUACUACCACCGCCGUUUUGGAAACGAUGCUCGUCACUGUCGGCGUCCCUGCGCUUGGCAGGGAAACAGGCCGGCCGACCUCUAACGGCGCGAGUGGUCCGGCCCAAAACACAAGUCGCCUUUUCUACGUGACGGACAGAGUUACGGGACAACGAUUCUUAGUCGACGCAGGUGCUGACAUCAGCAUUCUCCCCGCCCAAAACUCCGACCGAAAAGCGACACCUGUGUCGUUUUUGCAAGCCGUCAACGGCACCAGGAUUCCAGUUUUCUCGUCACGCUCCGUCAUGCUAAACCUUGGCCUUCGACGAGCGUUCCGCUGGAUUUUCCUGGUUGCAGACGUCCAUUGUGCAGUCAUUGGAGCAGACUUCUUGCAUAACUACUGACUCCUUGUGGACAUCCAGCGACGCCGUCUCAUCAACUCCGUGACCCAGCUAUCCGUUCCCGGCGUCCCAUCAUCAGGCACAUCCCCCAUAGCGCCUAUUUCUGCCAUGUUGGACGAACCUUUCGCCGUGCUCCUACGCGAAUUUCCCACUUUGACACGCCUGCCCAACUGGACGCGACCGGUGCAACAUGACGUGUGCCAUCACAUAGUCACCUCCGGCCCACCGGUCUAUUUCCGACCCUGGCGAUUGUCCCCGGAGAAACUCAAGAUCGCUCGGGCGGAGUUCGAACACAUGCUGCAACUUGGCAUCAUCCGCCCUUCCUUCAGUAACUGGGCACUUCAGAGGGUGCCUAAGAAGACGGGUGACUUGCGCCCAUGCGGCGAUUACCGGGCACUAAACAACGUCACAGUUCCAGAUCGCUACCCUCUACCGAACAUUCAGGACUUCACGGUUGCGUUGCACGGUGCGACGAUCUUUUCUAAGAUCGAUCUCGUUCGCGCCUACCAUCAACUACCCGUCGCUGAAGAAGGCAUUCCCAAGACCGCCAUCACCACACCCUUCGGUCUUUUCGAAUUUCUCCGCAUUCUUUUCGGUUUGGGGAACGCGGGCCAAUCCUUUCAGCGUUUCAUCGAUUCCGUCACCCGGGGGUUGCCUUUCGUUUUUGCAUACAUUGACGCCUUCUCUUCGCAAGCUCUUCGGCAGAAGAACAUCUUCACCACUCGCGGUUGUUGUUUUCACGCCUUGCCAGUAAAGGAAUACUCAUCAACGCCGGCAAGAGUGAAUUCGGUCGAACCGAACUCGAGUUCCUCGGUCAUAUCGUCGACGCUAAUGGCAUUCGACCUCUGCCGUCCAAUAUUCGUGCCAUCGAAAAUCUUCCCCAACCGACCACACUCACCAAGCUUCGCCGAUUUCACGGAUAUGUAAAUUUCUACCGCUGAUUCAUUCCCGAGUGCGCACGACUUAUGGCUCCGCUAGACGCUCUCCUGGUAAACAAACGCAAACAUGUGCUUCAGUGGACUGAAGAGGCCAGUGACGCUUUCACAAGAAUCAAGUCUGCCCUCGCCGAUGCCACGCUGCUUAGACACCAAAAACCAGACGCACCCACUGCCAUCAUGACCGACGCUUCAAACAACGCCGUUGGUGCCGUUCCGCAGCAAUUCAUCGACAAUGCAUGUCAUCCACUCGCUUUUUUCUCCAAGAAACUGAAGCCUCCGCAGUCCCGCUACAGAGUGUUCGACCAUGAAUUACUCGCUGUUUGCCUGGCUAUCAAGCAUUUUCGCCAUUUCCUCGAAGGCCGUGCAUUCACUGUCUUGACUGACCACAAGCCCCUUGUGCACGCAACGAAUCGCUCGGCGUCCUGUUACUCGCCCCGCGAGAUUCGACACCUUUCCUACAUCUCCGAGUUUACAACAACGUUCCGCCACAUCAAGGGCACCGACAACGUUCCAGCCGACGUUCUGAAUCGUGUCAAUGUCGCUUCCACGUUGACAUCAGAACCUUUCAUCAUCGACGCCGACUUACUCGCCAGUCAACAGCGUGACGACACUGAACUUCGUACACUCCGGAAUUCGUCAACGUCCCUGAAAUUGGACGACGUCGUUGUGACUCCAGAUGGUACGUCCGUCGUCUGCGACACUUCUAACGACACACCUAGACCAUACAUUCCUGCAUCCCUUCGCAGACGUCUAUUCGAAACCGUGCACAACCUGUCGCACCCUGGCAUACGCGCGACACAGAAGCUUCUUUCCAGUCGUUUCGUUCGGCCUCGGCUAAACGCGCACGCUCGCGAUUGGGUUCGCUGCGGUUUGCCGUGUCAACGUUCGAAGACCCAGCGUCACCCCAUUCCGCCUGCCAAGUCUUUUCUUCCACCCCGAUCGUGGCUCUCCAACAAAAUGCACAGCUCAACACACUGGAUGAGCUGGAGCAGCAGCGGCGUGAUGCUCGCAGGCUUCAAGGCCAUCCUUUCGCACGCAACGUGUGCUCUCAGGGCUUACGCUUUCUCGAACUCGCUUCUACCACCACCAUCGCCAGUUCUUCCUCGCUGGAGUUUUGUACAGCUGAGUGAUAACAAGCCAACUUAUAUACAUCGCCCGACAUCAACUCACGCGGUCGCGUCGCUUCGUGACCGAAUUAUAGCCCACAAUGCCCACCUACCGCUUGGCUCCAUCGUCCUUUACGUUGAUGCAAGCAUUCAGGACUGUGAAACAACCACUGCAAUUUAUUGUCCAUGCGAACCUGCCCUUAAUAAGACGACCCGGUUUCAAAUCCAAGAACCUCCUUCCUCCUUUUGUGGUGAGCUCCUUGCUGUCCGAGAAGCGUUAUGCUCUGUGGCCGCCUUUCCCAUGGUCCCCACGGCCGCAUCGUCAUCCGCACUGAUGCCCUUCAGGCGACGCGGCUUCUGCGACGCGUCAGUCGCAGCUCUGCACAGAUCCAUCUUCUGGCGGCACGCAUCCCGCAGUCAGUAUCUGUCGAGUGGAUCCCACGCCACCUUAUAAGCUUCCAAGGCCGUGCGGAUUCUGCGAUCCGUCCAGCGGCCUCUCCAAGGUCACUGCCUCAACUCUUUCACCUAGAUGAUGCCGCCCUCCUUUUAACAAGAAAGGAGCACCUCCGGCGCCGCACACGUGCUCUCAUACCUCCGUGUGCGAUAAACCUCUCCCGUAGUCUUACCCGUGCAGAGGAGGUUGCGUUCGGAGGAUCCGGGUCGGGGUUGCCCUCACUCCUGCCGUGACUAGGAAGUGGCCGUACUUUCGCCCGUUAUAUCCUCGUCCUGAGUGUCCACUCUGCAAGUCGCGAAAUGCUGAAGCCGACAUCCACCACCUGCUGUGGGUGUGCCUUGCACUGAAACCGACGAGGCUCCGACACCUCGCAGCAGCGGCACUCUCGCUGCACAAUCCGAGCGAUUACACUGCUUGGACACAGGGACUGCAUUAUCGAUCCCUCUUGGACUUCAUUAGAUCCCAUACACAAAGUGCAAGAAGUGGCAGUCCGGGUGUUCAGAAAUUUUGAGCCUGCAGUGCAUGGCCGCUCGUGAAAAGUUCUGUACAUUUCGCUUCCAUAUACGCGGUGUCGCAAUUGGGCAGCCGGCUGCCCUGCAGUUUCCAGGCUUGACCUGAUGGCCACACAUGAAGCCAUAUGUGGCUUCAGACAGGUCCGUUGUUGCUACAAUUCCUGUGGUUGGAUCCGCAACCUCAACCAGCUGGCUGCCCACCUGACGCAGCAGCACGGCGUCAACGUGAUUGCACUGCAGGAUCCCAUACACAAAGUGCAAGAAGUGGCAGUCCGGGUGUUCAGAAAUUUUGAGCCUGCAUUGCAUGGCCGCUCGUGAAAAGUUCGGUACAUUUCGCUUCCAUAUACGCGGUGUCGCAAUUGGGCAGCCGGCUGCCCUGCAGUUUCCAGGCUUGACCUGAUGGCCACACAUGAAGCCAUAUGUGGCUUCAGACAGGUCCGUUGUUGCUACAAUUCCUGUGGUUGGAUCCGCAACCUCAACCAGCUGGCUGCCCACCUGACGCAGCAGCACGGCGUCAACGUGAUUGCACUGCAGGAUCCCAUACACAAAGUGCAAGAAGUGGCAGUCCGGGUGUUCAGAAAUUUUGAGCCUGCAUUGCAUGGCCGCUCGUGAAAAGUUCGGUACAUUUCGCUUCCAUAUACGCGGUGUCGCAAUUGGGCAGCCGGCUGCCCUGCAGUUUCCAGGCUUGACCUGAUGGCCACACAUGAAGCCAUAUGUGGCUUCAGGCAAGUCCGGUGCCUUUUUCCGACCUGCGGUUAUGUGAAUUCCAUCAAUGACCUGCCUAGUCAUCUGGCAUUGCGGCACGCCGCAUCGGUUAAGGAAGUGCACGAGGACCACGCGGAGCUCGUACUGCAAGAUCCGACCAACAAGCAGAACAGCGUGCGGGCGGUCCUCCUGCUGCAUCACGAGAGCGUGCUGGCUGUCACGCACGAGCGUACGGGCCAGUUUUAUUCCGAGGCCAACUUGAACGUGCUUACACUGACGCCAGGACCCGAAGAUUACGACUUCGAAAUUAUUCUCAGGGGACCCUCCGGCGUUAACUCUUGGAGAUCGCGGGCCCUUGCAUGGGGAACGCCGGAGGAUACGUCAGUGGGGCUUUCGGAAUCGUUCAUAAGUAAAUUGGCUCCCGAUGGCACCUUGAAUAUCCGAAUAAAUUUGAUGAAAUGAGUUCUUUAACAAGGA